GAUGAACGCUGGCGGCGUGCCUAAUACAUGCAAGUCGAGCGAACGGACGAGAAGCUUGCUUCUCUGAUGUUAGCGGCGGACGGGUGAGUAACACGUGGAUAACCUACCUAUAAGACUGGGAUAACUUCGGGAAACCGGAGCUAAUACCGUAUGAUAUUCUGAACCGCAUGGUUCAAAAGUGAAAGACGGUCUUGCUGUCACUUAUAGAUGGAUCCGCGCUGCAUUAGCUAGUUGGUAAGGUAACGGCUUACCAAGGCAACGAUGCAUAGCCGACCUGAGAGGGUGAUCGGCCACCCUGGAACUGAGACACGGGCCAGACUCCUGCGGGAGGCACCAGUAGGGAAUCUUCCGCAAUGGGCGAAAACAUGACGGAGCAACGCCGCGUGAGUGAUGAAAGUCUUCGGAUCGUAAAACUCUGUUAUUAGGGAAGAACAUAUGUGUAAGUAACUGUGCACAUCUUGACGGUAACUAAUCAGAAAGCCACGGCUAACUACGUG
rnacentral:rRNA from 1 species